UAAUACGUAGGGAGCAAGCGUUAUCCGGAUUUACUGGGUGUAAAGGGCGAGUAGGCGGGCAUGCAAGUUGGGAGUGAAAUCCGGGGGCUUAACCCCCGAACUGCUUUCAAAACUGCGUGUCUUGAGUGAUGGAGAGGCAGGCGGAAUUCCCAGUGUAGCGGUGAAAUGCGUAGAUAUUGGGAGGAACACCAGUGGCGAAGGCGGCCUGCUGGACAUUAACUGACGCUGAGGCGCGAAAGCGUGGGGAGCAAACAGG
rnacentral:rRNA from 1 species